GCAAUUAUCCUCGAGGCCCAAAACAUAACAAAUAGAUAAUAAGGUUUUGGCAGUAUUUGGCCACAGCUUUAUCUUGAAUAAAAUAUAACAUAUAUGAUAUAUAAUAUGUAUUUAAAUUGGCAAUCUUGCUCUGAAAUAUAUUUAUCAAUGUCUGUAUUUAAUAUAUAUGUAAAUUAUAAUGUGGCUACCGCAAAUUAUGGCAGACCACUAAUAUAAAUAUAUUUAAGUAAUAUGUCUGGUACGAGAAGUUGACUGAUGAGCCCUGGUAAUCAGAGGCUAUCAUUACUGUUCACUGAAUAUAUGAAUGUUAAAUCCAGCGCAGCGAAAUGUGCCAAAUGUGCUCUGCCAAUGUCCACUUUUACAUCUACAUUAUGUUCACUAGUUGUCUCCUACUCUCCCAUCUCAGUACCAUUAGCAGAAAUAAGCUGAAAUAUAAACUUAAAAGCAGUAUCUGGUUUCUUACUUCCAUUCAGAACAAAUACACAUGUAACACAAAAUUAAUUUACAUUGGGAGGGUGGUGGGUUUUUUAAGAAGAUUAUUUUCUCGUCCAAUUUUCGUCUGCUGCAAUCUUGCCGACGUAUUUCGAAAAGACCAAAGCGAGGUUGCGAUCAAACUAAUCAACACAAAUGUUAAAUACCCAACAGUGAACCACCACCUGCCCAAAUUAAAAUCUUCGAGUUUGUACCCAAUGGAUAACGGGCUUUAAAAUUGUAGAUUUUAAAUCCUUUUAUCCUCGAGGCCCAAAACAUAACAAAUAGAUAAUAAGGUUUUGGCAGUAUUUGGCCACAGCUUUAUCUUGAAUAAAAUAUAACAUAUAUGAUAUAUAUAAUAUGUAUUUAAAUUGGCAAUCUUGCUCUGAAAUAUAUUUAUCAAUGUCUGUAUUUAAUAUAUAUGUAAAUUAUAAUGUGGCUACCGCAAAUUAUGGCAGACCACUAAUAUAAAUAUAUUUAAGUAAUAUGUCUGGUACGAGAAGUUGACUGAUGAGCCCUGGUAAUCAGAGGCUAUCAUUACUGUUCACUGAAUAUAUGAAUGUUAAAUCCAGCGCAGCGAAAUGUGCCAAAUUGUCCGAUAAGAUCAGGGUAACAACUUGAUCUGAUUGGACAACCGCCACUGAAAAGAGGGGGUGUAGCUGCGCGAAGCUGUGCCAAAUACAAUUUAAUAUAUUAACUUUCAAGUUACUUCCUAGUAACUUACUUGAAACGUCAGAUAUAAAAUGUUAACAUAACAGUUGUAUCUAAUUACAGUCGGGGAAGGUUAAAUUAAUGCCAAGAUUCCUGAUGAUCAUUUCUAAUCCUCCCUGGAGGGUAUUCAAAAAAAUGUUAUUUCCCAAAGACGUCAAAUGCACUCCAUCUUUCAUUAAGAAUAAUUCAUUAGCCUUUAUAUCAGGGUAACGGAGGUAACAACCAUCUGUUUUGGUUAAAAAUGAUGCUAUAGAGGUAUUAACCCUCAUUCUACAUUUUUCCAUGGCAUUAAUAUUGUCAGAGUAACGCCAACUUGAUCUCGGAAUAAUUUGAGACCAGACAAAAACUGUGUCCAACAUCAGUUGACGCAUCCAACUGAACUGUUUCCUUAUUAGUUCACAAAGAGUUUUUGAACUUUUUUUCCCCUAUAUCAUUGCCUC
rnacentral:lncRNA from 1 species